rnacentral:sRNA from 1 species
GUAAUGGGAUUUUCACAGCUGAAGAAGGCAGAGCCCCUCUUCACCAGCCCCUGCUUCCUGCCUUCAGGAAAAGGCAUUUGUGAAUGAUUCUACAUGACAGCAACAUGUGCUUGACUUGAGGAAUAAAUAAAUUUACUAAGAAGCUUCGAAAUCCCUAUUCCAUCGACAAUAAUGAGCUACUAGACUUCCUCUCUAGGGUACCGUCUGAUGUUCAAAAGGUGCAGUACUCGGAAUUGAAACUCUGCAGCAGCCACAGCCCCCUGCGGAAGAAGCGCAGCGCUCUCUAGGGCACACACCGACUUUGGACAGCAGCACCCAGUGUUGUGUUUGGUUGAGUAGACCAAUGUUAUGGCUGUUUCAGUGGUACCCAAGGUGUCCUUCUGAAAUGCAUGCCCUGUGGCACCCUCUGUAUUCUUCCUCCUCCUUCACGUGCACAGACAUACACACGUGUGCACACACCCCCAUGCAUGGGUGUCCUAGUUGCAUAGAGGGUCAGCCCAGCAAAAAGCAACAUUCCUGAGACUGUGAAAGACUAACAUCCAUUCUGAAAUAGGAGAUAACAAGGCUGCCAUGGAUCUGAACACCACCUUCCUUGAGAACAGCCAGGAGCCCACUUGGAUUCAAGAGUGACUUUGAACUUGUUUUCACACCUCCAACAGACUCUCAUUAAGAUUCAGUUAUUUCCACUCCCCAGCCCCACGCUCCUUUCAGAUUAUUGUUCAUGGGCGUAGUAAGUCUCUUUCUUCUCAGAGUUAACAAGCCUUUGGUAGCCAUCAUCUGUCCAAAUAUCGUAUAUUAUUAAAAGGCAUUUUUAAUAAUUACCAGAAUUAGCUCAAACCUUUA